GCCCGGCUGGCUCAGUCGGUAGAGCACGAGACUCGAACUCUCGGGGGUCGUGGGUUCGAGCCUCACGUUGGGUG
rnacentral:tRNA from 1 species